GGAACACCCCUUGCCUUUGCAGGUUGGGAAUCUCAGAGGGAGCAGGAGCAACUGGAGCAGGAAAGGAGACCUUACAUGUCUCCACAGUACACAUUGUGUGGAGUCUGCACCAGUCAGCCAGUGGAGAGCACAGACUGACGGCAGUGUGUGCGAUACAGUGGAUGACAGGAAGCUACAGCCACACCAGCGAGGCUGACUGUGCGAUGGCCACUUUGCUCAGUGCUUCGUGUGCAGGAGGACCAGGCAGAAUGGUCCAAAGUCUCCGUCUCUACGUCUGCUUUGCCAUUCUCAAGUGACAAACCCUCACAGUCUAGCAAAAUGUCACUCACUUGAGAGUCUGAGGGUUCAAAGAGGGCACGUGUAUAAAGUGCAGGACAUUGGUUUUGAUACAUAAGAAUCCUAAUACCAGCAAAUAUACUUAAUUGGUAUGCACAGGUCUCUGCCAUCUAGAGAGGCCCUGAGUCUGCCCCACGCAGGACCGAGACUUCUGUGCCCGCUCCUGCUCCAUCCAGUUUCCCCCAUUUUCUUUUUCCUCUCCUCUCUUUUGUUACUAAGGUUCCAGGGGUGGAACCCAGGGCCCUGUGUAGACUAUCGUUUAGUUACUGCCAGCCUGGACAUUCUCUUCGUAAUAUCCGACCCUAGCUUUCACCCUCUGCUCCAGGUCAAAACUCAAAUUUGAGACACAAAACUCCCCAAGCCUUAUCAGUGCCACCAUCGGAAUCCGAGGGGAUCCAACUUCUCACCAAGCCAUGACUACCAGUCCCUCCACCCGUGGCUCCGGCCUCCAUCCUCAUCCAUGGACACGCAUUGGCAAGCAGGUGUCCGUGCACAUGUGAAUGUAAGAUGCAGAGGCAGUGGUUUGCAUCAAGAAGUGGUUCCUUUGACGGUUCUCCCCCUCCCCCUCUGCUAAACCUAGAGCUCCCUGAUUUGUCUAGGCUGGCUCGCCAAUGAGCUCCUGGAAGACACUUGUCUGCCCCACCCGCAGAGGUGUUACAGACUUACAGAUGUGUCCUGCUGCUUUACCUGACUAGGCGGGGGCUGGGGAUCUGAACUCACGUCCUUUUAUUCUGCACAGCAGGCUGUUUACCAACAGAGCCAUCUCCUCAAGCUCAGAAUCCUCUCUGGCCUUCCACAUCACUCUGAAAAUACCAUCUACACUUUCAACCAAGCAUACAGUUCCGCGUGACCUAGCUCCUUGAGGAGGUCAACGACCAAAUAGUUGCUGCUUCCUGAAUCUCACACACCAGCCGUUCCCUUCACUGCACAAUGGACAAUGCAACGUAUCUGUUGAGUGGCUGAGCAAUCACAACAAGGUUGAAUGGUUCGCCUUUACCACAUGCUUCUGACCCAAAAGCAAUGGAACCACUGGAUCAUGGAUCCCAGUCUGGCUCCAAAUGCAAGC